UACAGAGACUGCAAGCGUUAUUCGGAUUCACUGGGCGUAAAGGGUGCGCAGGCGGCCAAGUAUGUGAGGCGUGAAAGCCUGGAGCUUAACUCCAGAAUUGCACCUCAAACUACAUGGCUAGAGCAUUGGAGAGGGUAGCGGAAUUCACGGUGUAGCAGUGAAAUGCGUAGAUAUCGUGAGGAACACCAGAGGCGAAGGCGGCUACCUGGACAAUUGCUGACGCUCAGGCACGAAAGCGUGGGGAGCAAAAGGG
rnacentral:rRNA from 1 species